CCUACGGGAGUCUGCAGUAGGGAAUAUUGCUCAAUGGGGGAAACCCUGAAGCAGCAACGCCGCGUGGAGGAUGAAGGUUUUAGGAUUGUAAACUCCUUUUGUUAGAGAAGAUUAUGACGGUAUCUAACGAAUAAGCACCGGCUCACUCCGUGCCAGCAGCCGCGGUAAUACGGAGGGUGCAAGCGUUACUCGGAAUCACUUGGCGUAAAGAGUGGUUAGGCGGGGUAAUAAGUCAGAGGUGAAAUCCAGUAGCUUAACUACCGAAUUGCAUUUGAAACUGGUACUCUGGAGUGUGGGAGGGGUAGGUGGAAUGCUUGGUGUAGGAGUAAAAUCCGUAGAGAUCAAGAGGAAUACUCAUUGCGAAGGCGACCUGCUGGAACAUUACUGACGCUGAGGCACGAAAGCGUGGGGAGCAAACAGGAUUAGAUACCCUUGUAGUC
rnacentral:rRNA from 1 species